AUUGAACGCUGGCGGCAGGCCUAACACAUGCAAGUCGAACGGUAACAGGAAGCAGCUUGCUGCUUCGCUGACGAGUGGCGGACGGGUGAGUAAUGUCUGGGAAACUGCCUGAUGGAGGGGGAUCACUACUGGAAACGGUAGCUAAUACCGCAUAAUGUCGCAAGACCAAAGAGGGGGACCUUCGGGCCUCUUGCCAGCGGAUGUGCCCAACUGGGAUGAGCUAGUAGGUGGGGUAACGGCUCACCUAGGCGACGAUCCCUAGCUGGUCUGAGAGGAUGACCAGCCACACUGGAACUGAGACACGGUCCAGACUCCUACGGGAGGCAGCAGUGGGGAAUAUUGCACAAUGGGCGCAAGCCUGAUGCAGCCAUGCCGCGUGUAUGAAGAAGGCCUUCGGGUUGUAAAGUACUUUCAGCGGGGAGGAAGGCGAUAAGGUUAAUAACCUUGUCGAUUGACGUUAUCCGCAGAAGAAGCACCGGCUAACUCCGUGCCAGCAGCCGCGGUAA
rnacentral:rRNA from 1 species